AGUGAACGCUGGCGGCGUGCCUAAUACAUGCAAGUCGAACGGAGUGGCGCACGGUUGCGUAAUAUAUAGCUAAUCUGCCCCUUGCUGGCGGACAACAGUUAGAAAUGACUGCUAAUACUCCAUAGCAAGGGAUGAGACUAUAUCGUAUCAGCUAGUCGGUGGGGUAACGGCCUACCGAGGCUAUGACGCGUAACUCGUCUGAUAGGAUGAUCAGUCAAAUUGGAAGUGAGACACGGUCCGAGCUCCUACGGGAGGCAGCAGUAGGGAAUAUGGCGCAAUGGGCGAAACCCUGACGGGGCAACGCCGCGUGUAGGAUGACACUUAUAGGAGCGUAAACUCCUUUUGUUAGGGAAGCGGUACCUAACGAAUAAGCACCGGCUAACUCCGUGCCAGCAGCCGCGGUAAUAC
rnacentral:rRNA from 1 species